UCUAAAAUAUAAUAGAACUCUCAAACAAUUUAUAAAACAUCCUACAAAAUGAGUCUCUCCAAAAAAUAUAUAUUAAUCGCAUUUGUUUUCACUCUUUUUUUCGCGAUGUCAAUUGUUCGCUGCACCGAUAUUGUUUCAGAUUUCGGAGUAAAGUAUAAUGUGUGCUAUGGUCCAUGUGACGACAAAGGAAAGUGUUGGCCGUAUUGUCAUACCAAAAAAGGUCUGAUAAGUGGAGACUGUGUGUCUGGCAUUUGUUGUUGUGAUGAACACUAAAUAAAAUAUUAAAUAAUAUCAUUAGAUAUUAUAUUUUGUAUGAAAUGAAAUAAUAUUACGAAUAAUACAUAAAAUGCUUUUACAAAAAAAAAUGUUAUCAAAUUGAAAUUACUUUGAUUAACCUCGAGAAAACAUUAGUCAAAGUUUCAUGUCUUUUCUUAAAAAAAACA